rnacentral:rRNA from 1 species
UACGUAGGGGGCGAGCGUUGUCCGGAGUUACUGGGCGUAAAGCGCUUGUAGGCGGUCCACCAGGUUUGGGGUGACAGUUGCCGACUUAAUCGGCAAAGUGCCUCAAAGACUGGCGGACUUGAGGGCCACAGAGGGACAUGGAACUCCAGGUGUAGUGGUGAAAUGCGUAGAUAUCUGGAAGAACACCAAAGGCGAAGGCAGUGUCCUGGGUGGUCGCUGACGCUGAGAGGCGAAAGCCAGGGGAGCGAACGGG